UACGUAGGGGGCAAGCGUUGUCCGGAUUCAUUGGGCGUAAAGAGCGCGUAGGCGGCCAGGUAGGUCGGUUGUGAAAACUGGAGGCUCAACCUUCAGACGUCGACCGAAACCAUCUGGCUAGAGUCCGGGAGAGGAGAGUGGAAUUCCUGGUGUAGCGGUGAAAUGCGCAGAUAUCAGGAAGAACACCCGUGGCGAAAGCGGCUCUCUGGAACGGUACUGACGCUGAGACGCGAAAGCGUGGGGAGCGAACAGG
rnacentral:rRNA from 1 species